rnacentral:rRNA from 1 species
UACAGAGGGGGCAAGCGUUGUUCGGAAUUACUGGGCGUAAAGCGCACGUAGGUGGCGACGUAAGUCGGGUGUGAAAGCCCCGGGCUCAACCUGGGAAUGGCAGUGGAAACUAGGGGACUGGAAUCUGGCAGAGGGGGGUGGAAUGCCGCGUGUAGCAGUGAAAUGCGUAGAGAUGCGGCGGAACACCGAUGGCGAAGGCAGCCCCCUGGGCUGAGAUUGACGCUCAGGCACGAAAGCGUGGGGAGCAAACAGG